CUAGAAGCACAGUCUCAUAGUUAGAAGGGUAGUCUUUGGCAUCACAAUACCUGGGGUUCUAAACCCAGCAUCAAUAUUUGCUAGAUGUGUGACUUCGGUGUCAUUAACAUCUCUGUGCCUCCAUUCUGUUAUCAGUACAUUGGAUUAAUAGUCGUACCUGUCCCAGAAGAUGAUUGACAAGAAUGACACCCACAUCCUCUGGAGAAGAUGGUUAGGGAAAUCAGACUGGCUGAAGACUCUGGGAAGCAGAUAUACAGUUUGGGAAGAUUGACCUCAUGCCCAAGACUACUCCAGGGUUGAUAGCCUUCUGGACCAGUGCAUGGCUUUACUGGAUUCUACAACAAUCUGUGGCAAAUUGUCUCCAAAGAUGGUCGAAAACUCACCUUAUAAGGAGUACUAAAGGAAGUUCACUAGGCCGAAAAAAAGGAUUCCCAGAAGAUAAUUUGAAUCCACACAAAAAACGAAGUACACACCAAUAAAGAGUCUCCACAUCCUUGAAGCCAAGGGGUGAAGAAUCAUAUUAUCAGCAGAGAAUUUCAUUAACCUCAUGGCAGCAACCAUUUGAAGAAGGCAUGAGCAGAAAGGAAGUUUGCAAGGACUAAAGGACUUGCCUAAAUUCCAACGAGUAGUUAGUGGAG
rnacentral:lncRNA from 1 species